UACGGGGGGCGCGAGCGUUAAUCGGAAUAACUGGGCGUAAAGGGCACGCAUGCGGACUUUUAAGUGAGGUGUGAAAUCCCCGGGCUUAACCUGGGAAUUGCACUUCAUACUGGGAGUCUAGAGUACUUUAGGGAGGGGUAGAAUUCCACGUGUAGCGGUGAAAUGCGUAGAGAUGUGGAGGAAUACCGAAGGCGAAGGCAGCCCCUUGGGAAUGUACUGACGCUCAUGUGCGGAAGCGUGGGGAGCAAACAGG
rnacentral:rRNA from 1 species